rnacentral:lncRNA from 11 species
AAUGAAUGCAGGCAUCCCGGCUGCUGUUUCUAAGGCUCCGCCCCUUUUCCCGGGCUCACAAAGGACAGGAUGAGGCGCUGGGCUGCUGAGCGUUCCUGUCCCCAUGGCAACGAUUGUCACCAAGGCUCCACGGCCACGCCCCUUUGCCCGGGCCCUCCCUUCUCGGUGCCUUGACUAGUAGCAGCCCGCAACCAUGGCCCAAAAGCAGGCGGCGCCAUGGCGGACGCCAUCCCCGUCCACUGGGAAGCCGAGCCCGGGGCCCUGGUGCCCUUCCAGGGACGCCGGCAGGACUGGAAGCUGACCAGCAGCGGAGUGGGCCUCAACUAUAUCCCCCCGUUGCCUUUGCUGCCGCCUUAUGCACGUUCUACAGUCCAGGAGCCCUUGCCCCCUGGCUCUGAGAAAGGCUAUCGAGAUGAGAUUAUUCCCCGCUUGACAACCACCUCGCAGCUUGCCUAUUGUCCCAAGAACCACAGCCGGGUCCUGGCUCAUGACCGGCACUUUGUUGCUGACGCACACAACAGUGUCCACUAUAUUAAAGAUUUGAAAGAGAAGCUGAAGCAGAGAGCAUGGAGGUUCCCACUGACUCCGGGCAACCAGAAAAGCGAGAUGAAGGACCGCUUCCCAGGCUGGCCCAACCUGCCACAAGAGCCCACCUUUCAUGCUGGACCUCAGCCCUUUGGACUGGCUGCGCAUCAUACAGAUGGAGCAUCCAAGUCCAUUGUGGCCAGCACACGGAAUGAAGAGAUGGCCGGCAAACCCUUCUAUGUCCGGGACAAGGCAGUUUUGCGGCUCAAUGAACCAUAUAUGUCUGUCACCACUCGAGACUUCCAUCCCUUUACAAAGCACGAAGUACUUGACUACAAUAAGGAGAACCCACCGGCAUGGUAUUCCCACCCUUUGAUCCGUCAACCUGGGCCAAUGCGAGACAUCCAACUGUUUCGCAAAUCCACCCGGGUACCCCGCCUGCCCCCCAAUAUUCCUGCGGUUCCCCACCUUGGCCUGCUCAGCCUGACCAAAGCCUCCUACCAGCCUCCCAAUGAUCACAAGCGCUCCUGGGACCGCUACUGCCCGGUGGAGAAGCCACCCACCGUCUCCUGCCGGGUGCCGGUGGUGGAGAUCAUGUGUGUGCCCCGCAUGUACGAGACGGAGUACAAGUGCUACGGAAGUGGCAAAUUCAUGCCAGUGUGAGAGAGCUUUCUUUGCAGCUGUUCAGCAAACAUUUAGGUUUGCUUCUUUUCUCUUACUCAAAGAAACAAGCAGAAUUUUGCUAUUCGUUAUUUGCCUCUGUGUUCAUUUUGCUAAGGACAACCAACUGUCUUCUGUUUUAGAGCAGAGCCUGCAAGUGAUAUUGUUUGCCUUACAAAUCCCAGAAUCCCUCACUGACCAUUCUAGUUCAGAAAAUUAAACUCCAGAAAUUAAACUCUGGUUUAGAGUAGGGAUGAGGACUGUUGGAACCUAGGCAAGUGGGGUUUAUAUAUCUGUCCAGGGUGGGAGAAAGAACUCUUGAUGGUUUGAGGCAAGUGUGAAUGUUGCAAUUGGCAAGCUUGAUUAGCACUGAAUAGCCUUGCAGCUGCUUUCUGCCUGAGGGAAUCCUUGGUGUGUUAGCUGGACCUAUCCAGGACAGUAAAUAAAGAACAACACUCAGAAAACAGGAAUUUCAGGCAUGAAACAAUCGGCCAGCUAACACCUCCCAACAAAGAAUUUCCCCAUGCAGCAAGCAGCCAUACUUCAAGGCCAUUCAGUGUUAAUCAAGGUGGUCAAUUGCAACUUUCACCCCUGCCUCGAGCAGACAAGUUCUUUCUCCCACCCUGGACAUUCCACAGAUAUAUAAAGCUCACUUGCCUAGUUUCCAACAGACCUCAUAACCUCUGAGGAUACGUGCCAUAGAUGUGGGCAAAAUGUCAGGAGAGAAUGCUUCUGAAACCUGGCCAUACAGCCUGGAAAACUCACAGCAACUCAGUGUGCAUUCAGCUCAGCAGGGAGGAGAGGAAAAGAUGAAAUCUUCCUCUGUCCUGUAAUCUCAGGCAAAAGCAAAUUGCUGCAGUCUCUUUUGACUCGUGUUCUUCCUCAUAAUUAUAAUUCUUGCUAUAUUGACUAAUAAUUUGCUGGUACCACACGUCUCAUUUUUCAUCUGUGAAAGGUGGUGUGAUCUAAAAAUCUAUUACAAACUCAAGUUCUUUGUAACACGCUCUUGCUCAGAGGUGUUUCACUGAGUGCGUUUUACUGGAAGCAUGUGAAACCUAUUUGUAUCGAUUGAUCUUUAUUUUAUAGACUUCCUAUAAAACAUACAUACGCCCUACAAGCUUUACUGCAACUUUCAAAAAUGGCUUAUUAUUAAGGCUUUUAAAACAAGGUUUUUAAACAAGACUGCUGUAUCUCAACCAAUAGCAGAGUAUUUAACAUCUUCUAGUACAGGCCAAAAAAGGGUAUUGAAGGUAGAUAUAAUUAAGGUUGGAUAUAAUUAAGGGCAAUGGGAAGUUAAUAAAAAAAUUAAAAAUAUUUCAGUUUUCAUUUGAUUCCUCUUCUAAAUGGGGAGGGAAGAGGGAGGCUCUUCCAAAGAGACUGGAGACUCAUCUUUCACAAAGAGCUUUUCUUAUCACCAUCCUUCCAUCAAAAAGCUUCAGGUAGCACGCAUAGGAUUAUCCCACAUUAUCCUCUCAAUAACCCUGUGAGGUAGGUUAGGUAGGUAGAGCGGCUUGCCCAAGGCCAAGCUGUAAGCCUCAUGGCUGAUAGACUACUUCCCCCUCCCAUGUAUAUUAGAGAUGGAUGACCCUGGUACAAAUAUAUUACCUUCUCCCACCCACAACUGGCAAUACCUUUUUUAAAAACCCUCUUCAUCAAAAAUCUGCCCACUUCCAUCCCUGUUACACCAUGAAGGCCAGAUGUGGUAGUGGGUGGAUUUGCUUCUAGUAGGACCUUUAUCCUGUUUGUGAGCCCUGAAAGAUUUGCAAGCCUGGGUGGGCAGAUAGUCUCACUUAUGAGCAGGGCAGCUAGACCUGGCUACACAUUUUAAUUUCCUGUAAUUCCUGAGAGCAAUAUAUUAUCAGGCACUGUGGAGAAUUAAAGGGUUAUUGUGGCAGGGCAGAUUUCCCAGUAUUUUCUAGCCAAAUGGUUGAAGGGGAACUGUAAUAUAGAAAAAAAGAAAAAAUAACUUUCUCAAGAUCUGCAUUAUUCACAAGAUCUGCAUUCUUCACACUUUGUAGCUGCUGAAGUAUACCCACUUGUUGAUAAUGUAUUGUAGGACCGCUAUGCUUUUUUUUAGAGCAAUACUAAAAUUUGUGAUCCAUGGGUACCACCAGUGUCAUACGCCUGCUUAUCCCUGCAAUACUUUCAGGAAAGAAAGAAAACAAUUGGCCUUGAAGCCAAAAAUUCAGCUAGCUGCUUGAGGAACGGUGUUGAUCCAUUGCCCGACACACCCUGCUACCUUGACAGCCAGAUGAUAAAACGCAGAUUGGGUUUGAAGGCAACAAACAGAGGUUUAUUAGCUUUCAGGCCUGAAAGAAUGUCUGAUACUUAGGACCCUUCCAGACAGGCCCUAUAUCUCAGCAUCUCAUCCCAGGUUUUCUGCUUUAAAUGGGAUUAUAUGAGUCCGUAUUGCCAGAUAAUCUGGGAUAAACAGAAAACCUGGAAUCAGAUCCUGGGAUAUAGGGACUAUCUAGAAGGACCCAGAGUUGCAACUCUAAAACAAUUGGACAUAUACUUGCAACAGAAUGCAAGACAUUAAACCCCCUUUGACAGCCAUUCAAAAUACCUGCUCCAUCCUCUGAUUGGCUGCAAAGCUGCCAAGCUAGGAUCCAGGCUUUCACUGGCUGGAGACUCUUGUUGACAUCAGAGAUUGAUAAAGAGUUUUCCCCAUGGCAGGAAGAAUGGAGAGCUGUCACUUGUCCGCUUAAAGUUGCAGCCAUUCAGAUAGUUAGCCCAGUCUGGGCUAACAUAUGGUUUGGGGCAAUGUAAAGAAUUCAUGAUAGGAUUAUAGGCAAAGUCCAGAAUACACAAAAAGAGCCAGCCUCUAAAACAAUGAAGAGCAGCGGUUCUCAACCGGUGGGCCCCCAUGUGUUUUGGUCUACAACUCCCAGAAAUCCCAGCCAGUUUACCUGCUGUUACAAUUUCUGACAGUUGAAAGCCAAAACAUCUGGGGACUCACAGGUUGAGAACCACUGAUAAAGAGGCAAAUAAAGACAGUUGAAUUGAAAGCAUACAGAACAAUACAGGUUUCAUCAAAGCGCUGUUUGUGUCUGACAUUUCCCACCACCUGGAUAUCCUCAAGAGUCCAAUCCCCUUUGUGUUUUUAAAUGAGGUCUUUCCUGCUUGCUCUAUUCACCUGGAUGAAUUCACCUCUUAGCACAGUAGCACUGUGGGUCCCCAGGUGUUUUGGCCUACAACUCCCAGGAAUCCCGGCCAGUUUACCAGCUAUUAGAAUUUCUGGGAGUUGAAGGCAAAAAAAUCUGGAGACCCACAGGUUAAGAACUACUGUCUUAGCAGGACAUAGAACCAGUUUCACAACACCAACAUAUUGCUAUAUUAUAAAGUUCUUUCAAGGUGCUCUGGAUCAUAUCUGCCCAUGUCCCACUUAAUAUAAUACAUAGAUGUAAGAAUCCCACCUUGUUUAUAUCCAUCAGUAGAUCAUAAACAUGAAUUCAAAAGGGGAAACGCAAGAUGCGUAGUAUUUGGGGUUUAGGGCGUAACUUUUUGGGCGUGAGGCUUUGGGAUUAAUGUAUUGUCCAGGAAGAUUUCCCUCCCACCUCCCCUGGGGCUUUUCAGUUUGGCAGAUGAUUGAUUUAAUCCUUCUUGGAAUGUUCAGGCUCCAGGCGGCUGUGGGAAUGAAUUCCUACCAAGGAUCAGAACAGAGUGCUUUUGCAACAGCAGAACUUGUAUCAAUUUAAUAAAAAAUAUUAACUAGAAUAAAAUGUUUAAUAGAAUAUUCUUUUGGGGAAGGGAUUCGACAACAGUCCCAUUUGGCACAGUUGAGUAAAGUUACUUUUUGGCAAUCUCUUGUGGCUGAGUAUGACUGACUUUUUGGACUACAAAUCCCACAAUUCCCCUGCUAGAACAGCUGCAGUGUUCCAGG